rnacentral:rRNA from 1 species
CACGUAGGGAGCAAGCGUUGUCCGGAUUUAUUGGGCGUAAAGAGCUCGUAGGUGGUUCGGUAAGUCAGGUGUGAAACCUCCAGGCUCAACCUGGAGACGCCACUUGAUACUGCUGUGACUGGAGUCCGGUAGGGGAGCGUGGAAUUUCCGGUGUAGCGGUGAAAUGCGUAGAUAUCGGAAGGAACACCAGUGGCGAAAGCGGCUUCCUGGUCCAGCACCGACGUUCAGGCACGAAAGCGUGGGGAGCAAACAGG